AGAGUUUGAUCAUGGCUCAGGAUGAACGCCGGCGGUGUGCCUAAUACAUGCAAGUCGUACGCACUGGCCCAACUGAUUGAUGGUGCUUGCACCUGAUUGACGAUGGAUCACCAGUGAGUGGCGGACGGGUGAGUAACACGUAGGUAACCUGCCCCGGAGCGGGGGAUAACAUUUGGAAACAGAUGCUAAUACCGCAUAACAACAAAAGCCACAUGGCUUUUGUUUGAAAGAUGGCUUUGGCUAUCACUCUGGGAUGGACCUGCGGUGCAUUAGCUAGUUGGUAAGGUAACGGCUUACCAAGGCGAUGAUGCAUAGCCGAGUUGAGAGACUGAUCGGCCACAAUGGAACUGAGACACGGUCCAUACUCCUACGGGAGGCAGCAGUAGGGAAUCUUCCACAAUGGGCGCAAGCCUGAUGGAGCAACACCGCGUGAGUGAAGAAGGGUUUCGGCUCGUAAAGCUCUGUUGUUGGAGAAGAACGUGCGUGAGAGUAACUGUUCACGCAGUGACGGUAUCCAACCAGAAAGUCACGGCUAACUACGUGCCAGCAGCCGCGGUAAUACGUAGGUGGCAAGCGUUAUCCGGAUUUAUUGGGCGUAAAGCGAGCGCAGGCGGUUGCUUAGGUCUGAUGUGAAAGCCUUCGGCUUAACCGAAGAAGUGCAUCGGAAACCGGGCAACUUGAGUGCAGAAGAGGACAGUGGAACUCCAUGUGUAGCGGUGGAAUGCGUAGAUAUAUGGAGGAACACCAGUGGCGAAGGCGGCUGUCUGGUCUGCAACUGACGCUGAGGCUCGAAAGCAUGGGUAGCGAACAGGAUUAGAUACCCUGGUAGUCCAUGCCGUAAACGAUGAGUGCUAGGUGUUGGAGGGUUUCCGCCCUUCAGUGCCGGAGCU
rnacentral:rRNA from 1 species